rnacentral:lncRNA from 1 species
UAUCCUAAGUGAAAUAACUUAGAAAGAGAAAACAAAAUACCACACUUUCCCACUUACAAGUGGGAGCUAAAUGGGUAUAAAUGAGCAUACGGAGGAAAAUAAUAGACACUGGAGACUACAGAAGGGGGCAGGUUGGGAGGGGGAUGAGGGUUGAAAAAUUACCUGUUGGGUACAAUGCUCACUUUUCAGGUGAUGGGUAUGCUAGAAGCCUAAACUCCACCACUGCACAAUAUAUCCAUGUAACAAACCUGCACAUGUACCCCAUGAAUCUAUAAAUAUUUUUUAAAAAUUAAAAUAACCUUGUCUCUGCCUUAACUUGUAUGAAAAAAAGCUAGUGCUAUUAACAUUUUCCCAUUCUCAUUGUUACUGAAAACUUGAAUAAACAUUUUCAAGAUCCUCUUUUGGAUCACUACCAUACCGAACAUGUGAUCAAUCCAUGUCAUUUUCUUAUUAGUUUGGUUCAAUCCCAGGGUGUGAGUGGAAAGCAGAACAAUUUGUGUGGUUAAAGCUUUAUUUUUGAAGAGUAAACGAAAUAUGAGAACUAAAUGAGCCAAACAGGACAUCUUCUGUGUUUUUACUGUUGGAGUCUCAGAAAAACAAAUCUUUAGGUAUCCUGAUAUUUCAAAAAGAUGUGAGAAGAAGAAGAGAGACCUCUCCAGCUGUUAGUGAACACAUUCUCAUUAGGUUUUCAUUGCCUUUUAUGACACUGGCAUUUUUGAAGAGUACAUGCAAGUUGUUUUGGAGAAAAUAACUCAAGUUGGAUUUAUUGAUUGUUUCUUCAUGAGUAGUUCUUUGAUCAUUUGCUGGCUGGGAUAGAAGAUAUAUCAGGACACUGGGGACAAUAUUACUGGAAAGACAAGUGAGGAUUUGCCAAAAGUAUACCUGUGUAUAUGUAUAGAAAAAAAAGGAGUCUGUUUAUUUUUCUGUAUGUUUCUGUUGGCAGUAGUUGAGCUUUAUUCAUCCACAUGACAUUAAAAAGAUGACAGCUAAAAACAAAGGCAGAAAUCUUUCUUUUUCUUUCCCUCACCAGGAGAGACAUGAUUGAUAUAAAAUCCAGACUCUAAAACUAAAACAGUGUGCCAUAAAAUUUCUGGCCAUCCCUUUCUCUUGAGAAUAUUAUGCACAGAUACAGAGAAAGGGGGUUUACAUCAAAUCAUAUUGCUAUCCUAUGUAAACCUUCUAAUAUUUUGCCACUUAAAAAUAUCCAAACUUUUACCUUGGUUUAGAAAGCACUGCACCAACUGGCUAUUACGCUUUCUUGCCUCAUCUCAUACUAUUCUCCCUGUCAUUUACUACACUUCAGCCAUAUUGUCAUUCUGUCUGUUUCUUCAAUACAUUGAAUACAGCCCAUUUCUACCUUAAAGGCUUUGCAUAAUGUUCUCUUUGCCUGGGAUGUUCUACAUGAUCCUUUAAUGCCCAGAAUUUUCUUGUCAUUCAAGUUUUAGUUUAAUUUUGUCUCCUCAGAGAGUUUUCCCCUCACUGCUCAAUCAUUCUCUAUAUUAGUGGACUGUAAUUCUCUGAAGAACACAUAACUCUGAUAUUUUAAUACUUAAUCUUGCUUAUUAAAUAAUAUUUUUUAUUUUUAAUUUAAAAAAACAUUAUAAAAAUAUAUUGUUAUUUUUACUGUAUGUUUCUCUCCUACUAAAAUAUAAACUGCAUGAAGUUAGAGAUCUCGUUUAUCUUGUUAAAUUACAGAGCAGGUACCUAAUAAAUAUUUUUGAAUGAAUAAAUGAGUGACGAUAAAUUAUAAAAAGGGCAUUUUUCUGUGCUGAUACUAAAUUCAGUCCUGUAUUUAAAUUCAAAUGUUUAAUUUAUAUUAAAUUAUAAUUUAUUUCUAAGUGCCCUGAUAGCAAUACAUAUCAAAAUCUGCUGCUUCUGCCUACAUUCCUGACAGGAACUGUAUAAAAUAAAAGAUCUGGUUUUAGCAGCAAACAUGAGGAACAAGUGCUAGGCUUGAUAAUUUGCAGGCAUCCUUUCAUGUCACCUUCUAGGAGAGGUGUCUUAUAAGGUGAAUUAUAGUCAGAAAACCGAGAGAAAUUAAGGUAAUUGUCUUUCCCAAAGCAAUUUUAUUGUAAACUCUGAUAAAUAAAGAAUAGAUUCCUCUACCCUAAUUAUAAAUGUAAAUAGUCUAACAAAAUAGACCUUUUCCAAGUGUGUGAUUUUGAUGCAUAUUUUUCAUUAUAAGGAAAGUAUACACAUCAAGAAUGGGAGUAUCUAUAAGCAUUAUUUUGUCUUUCUUAAGUCAAACAGCAAAAUGAUUUUUAAAAAUUUAUCAUACAGAUUUUGGGCUAAUGACUUCACUUUCUGUUUGAGUAUGUUCCAUGGGGUUUUAUAUGGUAAGACUUUUAUUUGUGGUUAGCCACACAACCUUUGAAAACUUCAUUGUUAUACAAAUUUGGGUUAUCUCCUUUCCUUCCUCUUCCCCUUGCUCUCAUUUUUCUACAUAAAUAUGCUCCUCCCUUAAAAUAUAACCUCUAUUAAGCCCUAUAAAUUUCUAGGUCCAGUGUGUUUUUUCCUCCACAGGUACAAAUUUCUAUGGUAAUGUUCUACACUGUUUUUUCAUUUUUGUUAGUGUGUGUGUGUGUGUGUGUGUGUGUGUGUGUGUGUGUCUUUUUUUUCUGAGCCUAAUGCUAUCACCUAUUAUCUUCCUAGCAUAUUUCAGGUUGACAGCUUGAGCUUAGAGUCUAAAAGUCAUCAGAUCUUUAGAGUAUCAGAAUAUACCUUUUAAUAUGUAAAAAUUUACAAAAGAAGUAAACCUCAAUAAGGUCUUUUAUAUUACAGAGCAUUCUUUUUUUUAAAAAAAAGAAAAUAUAAGCUAUGGGUCAUAAAUCUAUAUAUAGUUGAACAUUUUCACUCAAGUGUUAUGAAGCUGUGCAUUAACAUGAUUUCUCUUUAAUUUUUUGAGUUUAUUAUGUAGUUUUAAUUCAGGUUCCUUAAGGAAACCUUUAACAAAGGUAUGCCAUUUUCCCCCUAUUCUUUGAAAGUAACUGUAUGAAGUGCUCUCUUCUUUCAUAGCUUUCUCUGAAAUGUAGAACCUGCUUGGCCAAUAUUUCUGUCUUUGUGCAAAGGUUUCUUCUCCAUGGUCUGCUUUCUCUUCAUCUGAUUGGCUCUAGUGGAAUAAACAUAAAUAUUUAAUUUCUUCUUAAGCACGUAUUUGAAAUUAAAUUGGAAUUUACUAUGUGUAUUUUCUCUCCCCACCGUAGAUUAAAUUUCAACGAAGUAAAUUAGGAAUAGGCAGCCUAUGAACCAGGUCUGGGACCAUCUGACUAGAAUGUAAAAGUUCUAAAGAUGGCAGUCAGUUGGUGGAAUUUGUAUUUUAUUUGCUUCUUGAACAGAUUGGAGUAUUUCAACAGCAGAUAUCUGCAGAUUUUGCUUGGAGAGUAUGACCAUCCCACAUCAAACAUCAAAGAAGCACUGUGCUUGUUUGUGAAAAGCUUGAGAGAAAACAUACCAUUGAGUUGGCAGAAGCAGGCCAGUUAAUACACACACCGUCUAGUACAUCUUUCCUGUAAGUGUGUGUGUGUGUGUGUGUGUGUGUGUGUGUGUGCAUGUAUGUGUUGUUUCAAUCUGUCUAAAGAAGUAUCACAGAAACAUUGAAGAAUAAAGUCCAUUCCCUUUAAAGGGUAGUUUUCUUUCCCUUGCAUUACCUCUUAGAAAAACAUAAAAGAACUAAAAUAAAACUGAAGUUAUUUGUGUGAGUGCCACAGGCUGCAUUGUUUAAUAUGGAAUAGUGAACAGAGCUUAAUGAAAUAAAUUUUGUCUAUGAAACUAUUAGCUUCUAAAAGUUUUUAAAAUGUUAUCUCUCAGGAAGUACAUGUUUGCAUUUUUAUUUUCUUUAAAGACUCAUGUUAAGUGCAAUAAUUUAUCAUUGGCUAUUUAUUGUUUAUCAAGAACUGAAUUUAGUGUUAAAAGGUAUUUAGUUGGUUUUUGCUGGAGAGACUCGAUAGAGAAAAUAAAUAUAAGUUGGGGGUUUGCUGGCUGUAAGUCUGUAAACAAUUGUUAAAAGAGAGUAGAGAGAUCUUGAAAAGAGAAAACAUAAAAAGGGAAAACUAAUAGAGGAAGAAAAUAAUAUUGUUAUAAAUAAUUAUUUACUAUGUAUUGUGUCUGAGUAGGAAUUUUGUGUUUAUCUGCAUCAUGAGUUUUUUUGGGGGAGGUUCCUUUUGAUUAAAUUUUACAUAAUUUUAAAUAAAUUCUUCAAGCUUUGCUUGUUUUAACUGGUAUGAAGUAAUUGUAGUUGCAUAUUUUGCCCAGGACAAAAGAAUUAACUACAGUAACUGGUCAUCUUUGUCAAUCAUUCAGUCCUUGAUUUGACAGGAAUACAUUUCAUCGAUAGAUUGCUCAUUUCUCUGUUCAACAUCCAGGAAUCGAGGCCUAAAAGUUUAACUUUUCUUUAAUAGUUCGUAAUUGGCUAGAAUAUUAUAGUCCUUAAAGUCAUGCAGAUAUGUGCAGUAUAUAUAGAUAUGAAACUAUAUCUGUGGUACAUUGUUGGGUGGGUUAAGUAGCUUGAAUAAUAGAACGUAUAGCUUGAUCAUUUUUGUAAAAAUAUAAUUUCAAUACCUGUAUCGGCAUCUGUGCGUAGAAAAUUCUGGCAACGCAUACACCAAGAGUUAAUUGCAGUUUUAUCUAGGUGAUAAGAUUAUUUGACUUUUGUAUUAUUCUUCAUAGUUUUCUAUAUUUUUAGUAGCAUGCAUGUGUUAAUUUCAUAGGCAGAAAAAAUUAUGAAGGCAUUUAGAAAAUGAAAUGAAAGAAUUGAAAGUAAAACAGAUUGUAAGUUUAAAAUGAACAAAUGAACAAAAUAUAUCCCAAAUACAAGAUUGGGCAUCUUUUGAAAGUUAUAAUUGAUUGAAUGUAAGAGAUGCCUUUUCAAGAAUAAGUUGUCAAAUAAACUCUG